AUAAAUAAAAGAAAUUUAAUCAAGUAAUGAGCAUGAUGUUGGCUCAGGUUUAACAUUAUCUAAGGACUUUAUACAUGCUAAUUGUACGUUUAUUUAAAUAUAUUAUAAUGAAUAUAAUAUAAUUAAGUAAAAGUAGUGUGAAGGUGAGUAGGAUUGAAAUCAGAACUAUUAAUUUAGUUAAAAUACUAAAUAAUAGAUAAAGGAGAAAUUCCGUUAAUAGUCGAGUCAAUAUUGGAAUAGGUAGUAGGUGAUGUAAGAGAUCAACCUAGCCCAUGAUCCAUAGUCAGUAAUUUAUCGUUAUAAUGACCACAUUGAUAAUUAAAUAUAUCAAUAUUAAUUAUGUCUAAUUUCUAUAAUUAUAUAAUUAUAUCGAUAGGCAUAAAAUACAGCAGUAGGGAAUCUUAGACAAUGAUCGCAAGAUUGAUCUAGUUACUUAGAAAGAUGAUACUUAUGACAAAUAAUUAAUUAAAUUAAUUAAUUAUAUAAUAAAAAUAAGGAUGAAAAAUAUAAAAUCUAAUUAUAAUAACAUAUUAUUAAUAAUAUGUACAAGGAUAAUGACCUUAAAUUAUAAUUAAGUUCCAACCAAGAGUAGUGCCAGCAGUUGCGGUUAGACUACGGGAGCAAAUGUUAACCAGUACUUGGCUUAAAGGAUCCGCAGGUUAAAUAAUUAAAUUAUUUUAGAGUAUAAUAUAAUAGGAUAUUGAAUAAUUACAGAAAGAUAUAAAAAAUGAUGAUCGUAAUUAGACAGAUAAUAGCGAAAGUUAUAUUCAUUAUACAUACUGACACUGAGGGAUGAAGGUAUGAGUAGCAAUUUGGAUUAGAUACCCAAUUAGUUCAUACAGUAAACUAUGAGUACUAUAUAAAUAAUAAUAAAAAUAUUAUAUAAGAGAUAUAAGUGAAAACUUAAGUACUCCGCCAGACGAGUAUACUCUCAAGAGUGAAACUCAAGACAAUAGACGGUUACAGGAAUACGCAGUGGAUUGUGUUUUUUAAUUCGAUAAUACCCGAGAAUCUUACCAUUGUUUGUAUUAUAAACAAAUGUUACAUCGUUGUUGACAGUUCGUGCCUUAUGGUUUUGAUUAAUUUCUUGAACGAACGCAAAUCCUUUUUUAUAUGGGUUAUAAUAAUAAUAACUGAAUAUAAAUUAAAUAUUAAUUAUCUUAAUGAUUAAUAGUAAUAUUAAAAAUAAUAUUACAUAAAUUAGGAGCGACAACAAAUCAUGAUGACUUUAAUAUAAUGGGCCAAAGACGCAAUACAAAAUAUUAAUACAAAAUCUUAUUAGAGAAAAGGAAAACUUUAAUAAAUGACGAAAAUGAUAUAACUAAUAUAUUUGAUAAGAUAUAUAUAUCAUAUGGAUUAUCUUCUGAAAUUCGGAGAUAUGAAAUUGGAAUUGUUAGUAAUCGUAUUUAAUAGGAAUACGGUGAAAUUUAUAACUGUUUCGUACUAAUUACUCAUCAUUCGCUGGAAAUUCGAAUAUAUUAUAGUGUAUUUGAACACAUUAUUUCAAUUUAAAGAAUUGAUUUAAGUGGAUAAAAAUAAUAACAGUCAUAUCCUAGAAUAACCAGUGAGAAGUUGAAAUACAGUUACCGUGGGGGAACCAGCGGUGGUAUGUGAGACAAUUUGAGAUAUCAAUAUUAUUCAAAACAAACUAAAAUUAACAAUAGGUACUCUAAUAAGAGGGUUAUAUCGCGGGCAUUGAUCCUAGUGUGAUAACAGAGUGACGACUACAUUAAAACCCCUAUUUUAAUAUAUUUAGCUUUUUCGAUAUUAAAAAAACCUAUUUUAAUAUAUUUAGCUUUUUCGAUAUUAAAAAAACCUAAUAGAC